rnacentral:rRNA from 1 species
GAUGAACGCUGGCGGCGUGCCUAAUACAUGCAAGUCGAGCGAAAAGACGAGGAGCUUGCUCCUCUGACGUUAGAGGCGGACGGGUGAGUAACACGUGGAUAACCUAUCUAUAAGACUGGGAUAACUUCGGGAAACCGGUACUCAAACCGGUAAUUAUUUUGAACAACUAGGAUCAAUAACUACAGACGGUAUUGCUGUGCAUUAUCGAUGGUACCGAGCCGCAUUAGCUAGUUUGUAAGGUAACGACUUACUAAGGCAACGCUGAGUAGCAGACCUGAGAUGGGGAUCAGCCACACUAGAACGGAAACACGGCCCAGACUCCAACGGUAGGCAGCAGUGGGGAAUGGUCCACAAUGCGCGAAAGCCUGACGGAGCAACGCCGCGCGGGUUGUAAAAGGCUUCGGAUCUUAAAACUCUGUUAUUAUUGAAGAACAAAUGUCUAAGUAACUAUGCACUACUUGACGGUACCGAAUCAGAAAGCCACGGCUAACUACGUG